UGCGUGAAUGUUCUUCCCGGCUCUGCUGCCC
rnacentral:piRNA from 1 species